rnacentral:lncRNA from 1 species
AAAAAAAUAAGCGCCCUUGGAUGCUUGGACUGUAAUAUCUAUUUAAGUUUUUGCCAACCGAAAGAUAUCUAUUGUGAAUCUAUAUUUUAAUUCAAAAUUUGUUUAAUUUCUUUUUAUCUCUAAAAUAGAAAUAAAUUCAUACUUAUCCAAAUUUUUGCCAGAAUAUCAAUAUGCUCUAUCCAUCUAUUUUACAUUAAAUUUAACUUUGAGUUUAAAUCGUGAAUUAAAUUUAAUUUUUGAUUUUGAAUAUCAAAUCUAUCAAUCUAUUUUAUAUUAAAAUUUAAAAUUGAUAUUAUAGGUAUUUUUUAAUAAAAUAUAACAUAUAAAUUUAUAAAAUAUUUUAUUCUAAAUUUUUGAAUAAAUAUAAUUUACAAAUUUUUAUUAAUUUAAAAUAAAUUAAAAUAAUUGUUACGUACAUUUGCACGUACGCUCAACUAGUAUACAGUAAAGGCUCAAAACGUAUGAUUCGAUUCUUAUCAUCUUUCGGGUCGGGCCAUUAUCUAAUGGGCGGGUCCAAUCCGUUUACAUUUUAAGUAAACCUGGCCCAAGUUCUCGCCCACCAUACACCACGGUACGUGCUAAGCACAUGAUGCGCAAUUUGUGGUAUUCAUCGUCCUCGUCGCGUACUACAUCUGACACUGUCUUUUUCCCGCUGCUCCUCCGCAAGCGUCUCGAAUGGCGUCGUCCUCCUCCUCUAUCCCCUCCACUCGAUCCAAAACCCUCUCCUCUCCCUCCUUCGUGGCAGAGCCACGAAACCCUCCCCACCCCACCAUCUCCUCUUCCUUCCCCCAUCGCCAUCUCUCCGCCCCACCCCACCAUCUCCUCUCCCUUCCCUCAUCGCUAUCUCUCCGCCUCUCCGCCAAGCUCCGCCUCUCCGAGAUCAUG